rnacentral:rRNA from 1 species
GACGAACGCUGGCGGCGUGCCUAACACAUGCAAGUCGAACGGAAGGGCCCUGCUUUUGUGGGGUGCUCGCGUGGCGAACGGGUGAGUAUCACGUGUGUAACCUGCCCUUUACUUUGGGAUACCUUCAGGAAACUGGGGCUAAUAUCGGAUAGGAGCUCCUGCUGCAUGGUGUGGGUGGGAAAGUUGCGGCGGUUGGGGCUGGACUCGCGGCUUAACCGCUUGUUGGUGGGGUAGGGGCUUACCAUGGCGUCGACGAAUAGCCGCACUGAGAGGGUGACCGGCCACAGUGGGACUGAGGUACGGCCCAGACUGCUACGGGAGGCAGCAGUGGGAAAUAUUGCACAAUGGGCGGAAGGCGGGUGCAGCAACGCCGCGUGCGGGAUGACGGUCUUCUGGGUGUAAACCGCUUGCGCCUGUGACGAAGCGUGAGUGACGGUAACGGGAAAAGAAGCACCGGCUAACUACGUG